rnacentral:rRNA from 1 species
UACGUAGGCGGCGAGCAUUAUCCGGAUUUAUUGGGCGUAAAGCGAGUGUAGGUGGUUUUUCAAGUCGGAUGUGAAAUUUCCCGGCUCAACUGGGAAGGGUCAUUCGAUACUGUUAAACUGGAGGGCAGUAGAGGGAGGUGGAAUUCCCGGUGUAGUGGUGAAAUGCGUAGAUAUCGGGAGGAACACCAGUGGCGAAAGCGGCCUCCUGGACUGUACCUGACACUGAGGCUCUAAAGCGUGGGUAGCAAACAGG